rnacentral:rRNA from 1 species
UACGUAGGGUGCAAGCGUUAAUCGGAAUUACUGGGCGUAAAGCGUGCGCAGGCGGUGGUGUAAGACAGGUGUGAAAUCCCCGGGCUUAACCUGGGAACUGCAUUUGUGACUGCAUCGCUGGAGUGCGGCAGAGGGGGAUGGAAUUCCGCGUGUAGCAGUGAAAUGCGUAGAUAUGCGGAGGAACACCGAUGGCGAAGGCAAUCCCCUGGACCUGUACUGACGCUCAUGCACGAGAGCGUGGGGAGCAAACAGG